rnacentral:rRNA from 1 species
GAGUUUGAUCGUGGCUCAGGAUGAACGCUGGCGGCGUGCCUAAUACAUGCAAGUCGAGCGAACGGACGAGAAGCUUGCUUCUCUGAUGUUAGCGGCGGACGGGUGAGUAACACGUGGAUAACCUACCUAUAAGACUGGGAUAACUUCGGGAAACCGGAGCUAAUACCGGAUGAUAUUUUGAACCGCAUGGUUCAAAAGUGAAAGACGGUCUUGCUGUCACUUAUAGAUGGAUCCGCGCUGCAUUAGCUAGUUGGUAAGGUAACGGCUUACCAAGGCAACGAUGCAUAGCCGACCUGAGAGGGUGAUCGGCCACACUGGAACUGAGACACGGUCCAGACUCCUACGGGAGGCAGCAGUAGGGAAUCUUCCGCAAUGGGCGAAAGCCUGACGGAGCAACGCCGCGUGAGUGAUGAAGGUCUUCGGAUCGUAAAACUCUGUUAUUAGGGAAGAACAUAUGUGUAAGUAACUGUGCACAUCUUGACGGUACCUAAUCGGAAAGCCACGGCUAACUACGUCG